GGUGGCCUAGUGGUUAGAGUGUCCACCUCGGAUGUGGGAGGUCGUAAGUUCAAGCCCUGGCCAAGCCA